rnacentral:miRNA from 1 species
GUGUGUUUGUAUGUGUGUGUGUCUCUGUAUGUAUGUGUCUGUAUCAUACAUACACAUAUAUACAGAGACACACACACCUACAG